GGGAACUACGAGCUAAGCUUAAAACCCAAAGGACUUGACGGUACCCCAUAUCCCCCUAGAGGAGCCUGUCCUAUAAUCGAUAAUCCACGUUUAACCUCACCAUUUCUAGUUACUCAGCCUGUAUACCUCCGUCGUCAGCUUACCACGUGAGCGAUAAUUAGUGAGCCUAAUGCUUUUUCACCAACACGUCAGGUCAAGGUGCAGCAAAUGAAAUGGGAAGAGAUGGGCUACACUUUCUACAUUAGAAAAAACGAAAAACUAUUUAUGAAAUCUAGUUGGAAGGCGGAUUUAGCAGUAAAAAGGAAUCAGAAUGUCCAUUUUAACCCGGCACUGGGGUGUGUACACACCGCCCGUCACCCUCUUCAAAGCUUCUAACCUAGUCCUUAACAAACUAAAGCACGACAGAAGAGGCAAGUCGUAACAUGGUAAGUAUACCGGAAGGUGUGCUUGGAAA
rnacentral:rRNA from 1 species